rfam:Clostridium celatum DSM 1785 genomic scaffold Scfld11, whole genome shotgun sequence.
ACCUAUGUUAGAGGUGCUAUUUAUAAAUAGUAAUAAAUUGUAGCUGGCAAGUGAUGAUAAUUUAUGAAAGGUAUAAUAGCCGAAGGAGUAAUUUAUGCAAAGGAUUAUUUCUGGGUAUGCAUAAAAUAUAUGCAUAACUGUCACGUAAGUGGAGGGCUACAAGGUGC